rnacentral:ribozyme from 1 species
UGCCAAGCAACACCUACCCCUACCUCCUCGUGGUACCGGCCGGGAACUAUGAGCAACAUUAGGGAAGA